CUGCUCUCCCCAGAGGCAGCAACUCUCGCCCGUCUCUGCGUCUCACCCGGGAAAGGUCCAGGCCUUCGUGGGCAUAAAUAUUGUCCAGAAAUACAACCCUGACUGUGCUGCAUGCGGUGUCUGGGGCAUCUUUCCCAGAGUCCCCAGUUUUAACCUGGAUCCACUGUCCCUGAGCAUCAAGUGCUGGGACUUGCUGUCCACUUCCCGACUGGUCCAGUUUCCACCAUCGUGGAGACUGCUGCCAGGUGUUCAUUCCGGAGUGCACCAUGGGAGCGUGUCGGGUGCCUUCCCAGUUCUCAAAUUGCUGGCUAAAAGGACUUGGCCUCUUCUUGUAAAGCCUGGCUGGGGAGGGCUGGAGACCACCCACGGGGGCUUGGGCCCAGGAGGGACUGGUCUGCGAGUGGAGAUUGUGGGAUGGUGGGCUCAGGGCUCCCCACAUCUGGUGCAGGAAUCUGACUGCUCCAGCUGAGUGUCCUCCUGCCUUCCUGAAAUAUUGCCACGUGGGGUCUGAUUGGAAGCUAAGUCCAGCAAUUAAUUCCGUCAGGGCUCCGCUCAAUUGCAGAGGGUUUUCUGUUUUGCUCCCUUGGCCUAGAUUUCCCUGGGGACAGCUGUGACCGGCCGCCAAGUGCUUGGUAAAUUAAAUGUUAAAAAAAUCUCCAUGAUGACUUUAAUCAAUCCAUUGAGAUGGCAGGCGGCCUCCUCCCAGAAGAGUCUGGUCCACUGGAGGGAGCUCCCCCAGGCUCAGGGUCUGGGGGGGGGGGGGGUGGGAGGGUAGGACAGUCCUCCCCAGUGCCUGCCCAUGGGGGAGGGAGGAAGGUGGGAGGUCCCUGGGGUGUCCUCCUGGAGUCCAGAGGAGGAGGCUGAGGAGGGGGAGUGGGGGGCUCUGGCCCCCCAUAUGGUUUGCCCUGAUUUCUGCCUCAAACCAGGGGUGCCUGUGGGAACAGGGAGGGAGGCAGCUCCUCCAGGGGUCUCUCUCCUGACCCGAGGCCUGGGGGGCGCCAGAGCAGUGGUAAUUGGCGGCCGUAUGGCCGCAGAUAAGGUGUUCAUGGCUGCUCACGAUGGACGCUGGGUGCAGUUGGUGGAGACAAUGUCCUCCAGUUGUCGCCCGCCUCGGGGGAAUCUGGGGAGGAACUCAGUGAGCAGCAGGGUCUCUCAGCCAGCCAGGAAGUCGGGGGUAGGGAGAUUCCACGGCCCUUCCUCGGGGGCAGAGAGAGCGCCCGGCGGCCCAGCCCCCCACCCCAGCCAAGCUGUCACAUCGUGCCGUCUGCGCACUGGAGCCCCUGAAAGGGCCCAGAGCUGACCUCCAGGCUCUGCUUCGGUCUCCUUCUCCCCCAGCCUGCUUAUCAUCCAGGUCCCGUUCAAGGCCAUCUCUCCUGGCAGUGUUCCCCGACCCUCCUCCCCUGUUAACUCCCAAAGAACUUCCCAGUGGGCCUGGGUUACAUGGGCGACCCUGUCUCCCUGCUCGACCCUUCCUAGGCAGACGUCUCGCCGGCGCAGCCUGCGCCUCUAGGGGGCGCCCGGCAGCAUACGAGGCUGGGGGCCGCGCACAGUAGGCGCGAGCGAUCCCGGCCCGAAUUUGUGUCUGGGCGGAGCCCCCCGCUCCCCCGAGCGCCCAGCCACGCACUCUGACAGUAAUUUGGUCCGGCCUGGCGACUAGCAGGAAUCCUUCAGCCCGCAGGGAGUUCCGGGAGCGGCCUGAGAGGUCCGGGUGAGGGGCAGAGAAGGCUGCUGCUGGCAGCGGAAUCGGGUCCCGCUGCCGGCGCUCUGGGGUCCUAGCCGGGCGGGCCUUACCUACGGGCCGAGGCUGGGGUGACGGAUGGGGGCUUCCGGGCAGCAGCCUCAGACAGGGGCGCUCUGGAGCAUGGGCAGAGUAGGGAGCGCAAGGUCACCGGGGUACCUACAGGUCUUCAGGGACUGGGACCCCAAGGCGCAGAGUCCCUUUGACGGAUUGGAGGGGGAGGGGCUGCGAUGUGCCCCCUGACGGAAGAGGUUUGGGGGACCCCGGCUCAGCACCGCCGCCCCCUUCCUGUGCUCCCGGCAGGAGGCGCACGACGCAGUGGGGUGCGGUCUCUGGCCGGGUCCUGGCGCCCCCACCCU
ensembl:lncRNA